CCGUCAUCCUGCUGGUUCUUGCUCGCGUUGAUCUUGGAUCCCUCUGCGAACUCCUCUAUGUUGCUGUACUCAUUCAUGUCCUCCAUGGUGGCGGAGCCGUCGGCAAGGGGGUGCUGGCGCGCAGUCCGGGUCCCGGGGGCAGCGGCGGCGGAGCGUUGUAUGGAGCUAGAUUUAAAAUGGCGGCGGAAGAGAUCCGGCCGCCGCCUGCGCCCUCCCUUUAUAGCUGCCCCGCCCGCCAAUCGGGAGGGCUGCUGGGCGGUGACGUGGCGCUGGGUCCGGCGCGCCCCCUGCCGGGAAGAGCUGGAAGCGAGCGAAGGGAGGAGAGGGGCGAGCUGCCGCGGAGCCCGCGGCCGCCAAUGGGAAAGGCUGCGGGAGGCUAAAGUAGCGGGAGCCGAGGGGAACAAUGGCGGCGGCACAUGGGAGAGCCGGGGCGGGACCUCCAUCGCGGGGCUCCGGGUGAGGAGCAAGGUCGCGCCAGAGGGCCGGGCUGAGAUAACGGGAAAAUCAGUGCAGCAGGACCGAAGGGCAGGGAAUCCCGAGCGGCGCUGUCGCAGGGCCACAGUUCCUCUUGCCUUGAGAAUCGUUUGCGUUCGGCGUCCAGUUCGACUCAGUCCCUUGCUGCGCCCUCAGUCUCCCAGUGCAGAGCUGCGGCGGCGGCUGCUCCAGCAAAGGGUGGCGUGCACCUAGCGCCGCUCGCCGAAGCUGCA
rnacentral:lncRNA from 1 species